GAAAACAGUGGCACGAGAAAAGAAAAUGGGUGGGAGCCCUUGUCUGCCCUUUCAUCAAACAGAGACCGAAGACAUUAAUUGGAUGUGGGCCUCUCUUGUGCCCCUGGCUGUCACGGAAGUACGCAUCACCCCUCCCCGGGAAAAAAAUGGCACAGGUAGAAUGGGCCUCGUCGACAUGGAUUGUAAAGAAACGGCAUUCAAAACUGAUGCUGAAGACGGGAAUCGCUCUACACAAGAGAGUUCCCAGUUGUCUUGAAAGCACCAUAAAUCCAGAGAAUUCCAGACUUUGAUAACAAAAUUAUCCCACGAAGGACUGCCGUGCCACUUUCCUGUUCAAGUGAGCACAGCACAACAAGUGGUGGGGGAGUGCCAAGCCAAGAUGGAGGAGCUGUGGCUUCAAAACAGAGCCCCCUGUCAGUCAAUGGUUGCGACCCCAUGUGGUCAUUGUUAAAAGUAUGUGUGUAAUCAUGGAAUGGUUUUGACUCUGUGCCAUCUUUUGAUUAUUUGUUUGUGGUGAAAGUAGGCCUACAUCCGUUUUUAUUUGAUAAUGCACUGAUUUAUUAAUUUGUUUUAAUGUUUGCUAGUAAUUAUUCCAAUCAAUAAAUUAACAGUCUUGUUAUGAAUGAUUCAUGGAAAUGUAAUGAAAAUAAUGUAUUUUAAUAACUUAAUUUGUUUUUAUUUGAUUUUAUAAAAUAGCAUUUUUUAACUGAUAAUAAAGUGAAGUAGUGGAGGAAAAACUGAA